rfam:Asian citrus Psyllid, Diaphorina citri - Florida Strain, whole genome shotgun sequence.
AGCUUGGAGAGGUAGGGUAACGUGUCUGCCUUGUAAGCACUAGGUCGCAGGUUCGAGUCCCGCCCGGGCCG